rnacentral:rRNA from 1 species
CCUACGGGAGGCAGCAGUGAGGAAUAUUGGUCAAUGGACGCAAGUCUGAACCAGCCAUGCCGCGUGCAGGAAGACGGCUCUAUGAGUUGUAAACUGCUUUUGUACGAGGGUAAACGCAGAUACGUGUAUCUCUCUGAACGUAUCGUACGAAUAAGCAUCGGCCAACUCCGUGCCAGCAGCCGAGGCAAUACGGAGGAUUCAAGCGUUAUCCGGAUUUAUUGGGGUUAAAGGGUGCGUAGGCGGUCGGAUAAGUUAGAGGUGAAAUCCCGAGGCUCAACUUCGGAAUUGCCUCUGAUACUGUUCGGCUAGAGUGUAGUUGCGGUAGGCGGAAGGUAUGGUGUAGCGGUGAAAUGCUUAGAGAUCAGACAGAACACCGAUUGCGAAGGCAGCUUACCGGGCUACAUCUGACGUUGAGGCACGAAAGCGUGGGGAGCAAACAGGAUUAGAUACCCCUGUAGUC